rnacentral:rRNA from 1 species
UACGGAGGAUCCAAGCGUUAUCCGGAAUCAUUGGGUUUAAAGGGUCCGUAGGCGGGCCUGUAAGUCAGUGGUGAAAUCUCCCCGCUCAACGGGGAAACGGCCAUUGAUACUGCAGGCCUUGAAUUAUUAGGAAGUAACUAGAAUAUGUAGUGUAGCGGUGAAAUGCUUAGAUAUUACAUGGAAUACCGAUUGCGAAGGCAGGUUACUACUAAUGGAUUGACGCUGAUGGACGAAAGCGUGGGUAGCGAACAGG